rnacentral:rRNA from 1 species
GGCGCACGGGUGAGUAACACGUAUCCAACCUGCCGAUAACUCUGGGGAUAGCCUUUCUAAAGAAAGAUUAAUAUCCCAUGGUAUAUCAAUCCCGAAUGAGAUUGAUAUUAAAGAAUUUCGGUUAUCGAUGGAGAUGCGUUCCAUUAAUUUGUUGGCGGGGUAACGGCCCGCCAAGACUACGAUGGAUAGGGGUUCUGAGAGGAAGGUCCCCCACAUUGUAACUGACACACUCUCCAAACUCCUACGGGAGGCAUCAGUGAGGAAUAUUGGUCAAUGGACGUAAGUCUGAACCAGCCAAGCUACCGUGAAGGAUGACUGCCCUAUGGCUUGUAAACUUCUUUUAUAUGGGAAUAAAGUAUUCCACGUGUGGUAUUUUGUAUGUACCAUAUGAAUAAUGAUCGGCUAACUCCGUGCCAGCAGCCGCGGUAAUACGGAGGAUCCCAGCGUUAUCCGGAUUUAUUGCCUUUAGAGGGAGCGUACGUGGAUUGUUAAGACAGUUGUGAAAGUUUGCGGAUCACCCGUAAAAUAGCAGUGAAAACUGGCAGUCUUGAGUACAGUAGAGGUGGACGGAAUUAGUGGUGUAGCGGUGAAAUGUUUAGAUAUCACGAAGAACUUCGAUUGUGAUGGCAGCUCAUUAGAGCGUCACUGACACCGAUGCUCGAAAGUGUGGGUAUCAAACAGGAUUAGAUACCUUGGUAGUCCACACAGUAAACGAUGAAUACUCGCUGUGUGCGAUAUACAGUAAGCGAACAAGCGAAAGCAUUAAGUAUUCCACCUGGGGAGUACGCCGGCAACGGUGAAACUCAAAGGAAUUGACGGGGGCUCGCACAAGCGGAGGAACAUGUGGUUUAAUUUGAUGAUAUGCGAGGAACCUUACCCGGGGUUAAAUAGCAUUUGAAUAUGUAGGAAAUAUAUAUAGCUGCAAGGCAAAUGUGAAGGUGAUGCAUGGUUGUUGUCAGAUAGUGUCCGUGAGGUGUCGGGCUAAGUUCCAUAACGAGCGCAACCUUUAUCUUCAGUUAGUACCAGGUCAUGUUGAGGUCUCUGGAGAGUCUGCUGUGGUAAGAU